rnacentral:rRNA from 1 species
AACGAACGCUGGCGGCAUGCCUAACACAUGCAAGUCGAACGAGAGCUUCGGGCCUAGUGCCGCACGGGUGCGUAACGCGUGGGAACCUGCCCUUAGGUUCGGAAUAACUCCCCGAAAGGGGUGCUAAUACCGGCUAUUGUCUUCGGACCAUAGAUUUAUCGCCUUUGGAUGGGCCCGCGUUGGAUUAGCUAGUUGGUAGGGUAAAAGCCUACCAAGGCGACGAUCCAUAGCUGGUCUGAGAGGAUGAUCAGCCACACUGGGACUGAGACACGGCCCAGACUCCUACGGGAGGCAGCAGUGGGGAAUAUUGGACAAUGGGCGAAAGCCUGAUCCAGCAAUGCCGCGUGAGUGAUGAAGGCCUUAGGGUUGUAAAGCUCUUUUACCCGGGAUGAUAAUGACAGUACCGGGAGAAUAAGCUCCGGCUAACUCCGUG